rnacentral:tRNA from 1 species
GUUUCCGUAGUGUAGCGGUUAUCACGUACGUGCGCCUAACACGCGCAAGGUCCCCAGUUCAAACUUGGGCGGAAACA